rnacentral:misc_RNA from 1 species
GGGGAAUUGGUAAACAGGAUAGGCCUGACAUCAUUAAGGGGAUUGGAAUUUGGAUUCUUUGCGGGAAGGAGUGGCGAGAAAUUGCACGCAUGCCCCAUAAGUUCUUCCAGGGAUUUGGGGAGUUCGACGAUGUUUUUGCCAGCUGCGGCACUGAUGACCUUAUUUACAUCCAGAGCUAUGGAGCUCCAGCUUUACUUACGUUUGACAUGAAUCUAAGACAAUGGAGAUGGUCGCAGAAGUGCCCAGUGACAAAGAGAUUCCCUCUCCAGCUUUUCACUGGCUUUUGCUUCGAACCAAGGCUUGAGAUCAAUCCCUGACUCGUUU